UUAGCUACUUUAGAUAGGUUUGUAUUCAUAGUUAUGGAUGCAAACACCAAACAUUCGGUUUGUAUCUAUGAUGGCUAAAGAACUUUGUAUUACGCAAAGGCCACGUAGACAUAACGCUAAGUGGCUAAGCGAAAAAGGACAAAGUAAACAAAGUUUCUUACUUUAACUUCUUUCGAUGACUGAA
rnacentral:ncRNA from 1 species